AAGAUCUAAUUUUUUUUCGUUUAUUAUUUUUUUGUUUUUUUAUUUUUAAUUUUUUUUGUUUUUUUUAUAGUAUCAUUUUUGUAGAUCUAUGAAUAUCAUUUGAAAAGAAUAAGUUUUUUUUUUUUUUUUUUUUUUCUGCUAAUGAGCUUUUUUUUUAAUUAAUACCGAGUAAGAUCUUUAAUUUUGUAGCCAUAUUAGUUUUUCCGUUUUUGAGUUAUUUAUUUAUUUUUUGUGUUUAUGGUAUUAUUUUGUUAGAUCUACGAAUAUCUACACAAAUGGGUUCUUAAAAUAAUAGUUUUUUUUUCUUUUCUUUUUUUUGCAGAUUAGUAUGAAUCUGCUAUAUACUCCUCUUUCAUCAUCUUCGAUAAAAAAUUAGCAAUCAUCUACUCCUUUGACACAGUUUCCCUAUUUGUGUUCAAAUUUUUUUUGUUGCAUAAUUCUUACUUUUGUUUUAUCUCUUUGUCUGUACUAAAAAAGAGUUAAUUUUCAGGUGUUGGUGUCGGCUAUGGAUGAACAUGGAGGAAGUGGAGAUGUGUAUUAGGUGGUUGUUGGGGGUAUCACUCCGUUGUGAAGGCAAGUCCACUGCCACCGUUGGUCUCUGUCAAGCACUGUCAGCUUUUUUGAAAAAAAAAUCUUCCAUGCUCCAUUGAAAGAUUGAGGCUUUUGCAGAUCUUCCGUGCUCCAUUGAUCUGCUGAGAAAAUUCAUAAAUAAAUAUUAGCUACUUUUAUCUAUUUUUCCUAUAAAUCUGGAAUAUACACAAACUAUUUAUUUGUUGCUUUUGCAGAAUUCGAGAGGUUCCCAUGCUCCAGAUUCAAGCUUUCAUCUGCAGAGAAAAUUCAGAAAUAUUAGCUAUUUAUAUUCCAGAUUUAGAGUUUAUGCAUCAAGUAGAAAUAAAUAUUGUACAUUGAAUUGUAUUGAGACCGUAAAUGGCCAUAAAAACUAAACAAAAUUAAAAUGAAAAAGUGCCACAUAAGAACAUAAAAACCAUAAAAAUAGAACAUAAAAAGAUUUGGAACAACUAAGAAAACUAAGAAUAGAGAGAGAAAUUACAACAAAUAUAGAGAGAGAAAGUCUGCGUUGUGAAAAUGCAUUGUGAAAUAAUCUCAUAUUUAUAGGCUGAGUUGUUUAACCAAUUGGCUCCAAAGUGAGCAGAUUUUGAAAUUCAAAUAUAAUUUGGCCGCCA